AACGAACGCUGGCGGCGUGCCUAACACAUGCAAGUCGAGCGAGAAAGUCCCCGCAAGGGGAUGAGUAAAGCGGCGAACGGGUGAGUAACACGUGGGCAACCUGCCCUUCAGUUAGGAAUAACCCCGCGAAAGCGGGGCUAAUACCGGAUGACGUCCUUCGGGGCGAUCCUUGGGGGACCGAAAGGGGGCGGAGCGUAAGCGGCUCCCGCUGAAGGAUGGGCCUGCGGCUGAUUAGCUAGUUGGUGGGGUAGCGGCCUACCAAGGCGACGAUCAGUAGCCGACCUGAGAGGGUGACCGGCCACACUGGGACUGAGACACGGCCCAGACUCCUACGGGUGGCAG
rnacentral:rRNA from 1 species